rnacentral:rRNA from 1 species
CGGCAUGCCUUACACAUGCAAGUCGAACGGCAGCACGGGAGCAAUCCUGGGUGGCGGAGUGGCGAACGGGUGAGUAAUAUAUCGGAACGUGCCCAGUCGUGGGGGAUAACGUAGCGAAAGCUACGCUAAUACCGCAUACGAUCUAUGGAUGAAAGCGGGGGAUCGCAAGACCUCGCGCGAUUGGAGCGGCCGAUAUCAGAUUAGGUAGUUGGUGAGGUAAAGGCUCACCAAGCCGACGAUCUGUAGCUGGUCUGAGAGGACGACCAGCCACACUGGGACUGAGACACGGCCCAGACUCCUACGGGAGGCAGCAGUGGGAAUUUUGGACAAUGGGCGCAAGCCUGAUCCAGCAAUGCCGCGUGCAGGAUGAAGGCCUUCGGGUUGUAAACUACUUUUGUACGGAACGAAACGGUGAGCUCUAAUACAGUUUGCUAAUGACGGUACCGUAAGAAUAAGCACCGGCUAACUACGUG